rnacentral:rRNA from 1 species
AUGUCUUCAAGGACGAGAGGUUAUUUGGCAUGCACUUACCACUCCCACCUCGCAUGCGCCGCCGCCCAAGGCCCCAGCCAUCGCCACCAUUGCGAUGUUGCCAUCGAGUCGAUUUUCACCGUCGGCGGCGAGGUCUUGCUGGGUCCGCAGGAGCCACGGCGUCUUCAGCCUCCUGAACUGGCUACGCGUGCAGCAGCUGGGCGUGGUCGCUGCUAUGCUCGAGGUGGUCGUAUUCGUGUGAGUCACGCCCGAAGCCCUCUUUCACGCCCGCGGGCCUCCCUUCUCUUGAGUUGUCGCCGUUGUGCACAUGGACACAACGUCUGCCGUUCUCUGCCGGUUGCUGGAGUUUUCCUCUACGCUUGCAUGGCGGCCAUGGUGCUCCAAUCCCGAGUUUCCUGCGUCGCUACCUGGCCCGUGCAAGGUCCAAGCUGGGCGAGAAGGAUGCCGGAGCCGGCCACAACCGUUCCUCUGUGUGCAUGCGUCAACUCUGUUGGGUGUCGUCAACUUGCUUUCUGUUUGCUGCUGCUUGCUUACUGCUUUCUGUAUUGUUAUAGUUUUAAAUUUGUGUUCAUACAUGCAAUUAACUAA